rnacentral:sRNA from 1 species
GCGCUUCGGGGUCCGGUCGCCGGGGACCUGGGCUCCCCCUGUAGGGGUCGAACGGGCUUAGCCGGUUCGAAGGCGCUCCGCUCCCUCCUCUUCUCCCACAGCCGGGGGCCGCUCUUAGGGGCGCGCCGUCUCCUGGCUUCCUGAGAGGCUUUAGCCUAGAGAGGCUGAGUGUGAGGAACAGUGAUUCCCAUUGAUCCUUGUCCCCUCCGUGGGUCACAGAGUCCAGAACUUAAGAGCCACCCAAGAUCUGAAGACAGCAUGUACAC